UACGUAGGGUGCAAGCGUUGUCCGGAAUUAUUGGGCGUAAAGAGCUCGUAGGCGGUCUGUCGCGUCGGAUGUGAAAAUCCAGGGCUUAACCCUGGACCUGCAUUCGAUACGGGCAGACUAGAGUUCGGUAGGGGAGACUGGAAUUCCUGGUGUAGCGGUGAAAUGCGCAGAUAUCAGGAGGAACACCGGUGGCGAAGGCGGGUCUCUGGGCCGAUACUGACGCUGAGGAGCGAAAGCGUGGGGGAGCGAACAGG
rnacentral:rRNA from 1 species